CUACGGGUCGCAGCAGUGAGGAAUAUUGCACAAUGGGGGGAACCCUGAUGCAGCAACGCCGCGUGGAGGAGGACGCAUUUCGGGGGGUAAACUCCUUUUAUAUGGCAAGAAAAUGACGGUAGCAUAUGAAUAAGCACCGGCUAACUCCGUGCCAGCAGCCGCGUGUAAUACGGAGGGUGCAAGCGUUACUCGGAAUCACUGGGCGUAAAGGACGCGUAGGCGGGUUGGAAAGUCAGGUGUGAAAUCCUACAGCUUAACUGUAGAACUGCACUUGAAACUUCUAAUCUAGAGUAUGGGAGGGGGAGAUGGAAUUAGUGGUGUAGGGGUAACAUCCGUAGAUAUCACUAGGAAUACCUAAAGCGAAGGCGAUCUCCUGGAACAUUACUGACGCUAAGGCGUGAAAGCGUGGGGAGCAAACAGGAUUAGAUACCCCAGUAGUC
rnacentral:rRNA from 1 species